rnacentral:tRNA from 1 species
GCCUGGGUAGCUUGGUCGGUUAAGCGUCCGACUUCGGCUCAGGUCAUGAUCUCAUGGUCUGUGGGUUCGAGCCCCACGUCGGGCU